CGGGAUAUGGCGCAGUCAGGUAGCGCUCCGGUCUGGGGGACCGGAAGUCGCCGGUUCGAAUCCGGCUAUCCCGA
rnacentral:tRNA from 3 species